rnacentral:rRNA from 1 species
CGCAAGCUACCCGGGACCUCGCGCCCCGGGCGGCCCGCCGGCGGACAAACCAAAACUCUUGUUAUCUUAGUUGAUUAUCUGAGUGUCUUAUUUAAUAAGUCAAAACUUUCAACAACGGAUCUCUUGGUUCUGGCAUCGAUGAAGAACGCAGCGAAAUGCGAUAAGUAAUGUGAAUUGCAGAAUUCAGUGAAUCAUCGAAUCUUUGAACGCACAUUGCGCCCAUUAGUAUUCUAGUGGGCAUGCCUGUUCCAGCGUCAUUUCAACCCCUAAGCACAGCUUAUUGUUGGGAACCUACGGCUUCGUAGUUCCUCAAAGACAUUGGCGGAGUGGCAGUGGUCCUCUGAGCGUAUUAAUCUUUUAUCUCGCUUCUGUUAGGUGCUGCCCCCCCGGCCGUAAAACCCCCAAUUUUUUCUGGUUGACCUCGGAUCAGGUAGGAAUACCCGCUGAACUUAAGCAUAUCAAAA